rnacentral:rRNA from 1 species
CGGUGGAGCAUGUGGUUUAAUUCGAUGAUACGCGAGGAACCUUACCUGGGCUCAAAUGUAUGUUGACGUAUUCUGAAAGGGAUACUUCUUCGGACAAUAUACAAGGUGCUGCAUGGUUGUCGUCAGCUCGUGCCGUGAGGUGUCGGGUUAAGUCCCAUAACGAGCGCAACCCCUAUCAUUAGUUGCCAUCAGGUCAAGCUGGGGACUCUAAUGAAACUGCCUACGCAAGUAGUGAGGAAGGUGGGGAUGACGUCAAAUCAGCACGGCCCUUACGUCCAGGGCUACACACGUGCUACAAUGGCCGGUACAAAGGGCAGCUACCUGGUGACAGGAUGCUAAUCUCAAAAGCCGGUCUCAGUUCGGAUUGGAGUCUGCAACUCGACUCCAUGAAGUUGGAAUCGCUAGUAAUCGUGAAUCAGAAUGUCACGGUGAAUACGUUCCCGGGCCUU